GCGGGCGCUGAGCGCGGGGAGGAGCCGCGGCCGCCGCACCCUCUCCAUUGGCUGCACCCGCGGGAGCGCGGAGCCCCCAGAGCAGGCGCGCAAAUAAAGACUGCACCUGGGGACACCACCUUAAGUGGGCAGAACUUCCCCUCGCCCGCUCCAGCGCUUUUUAAAGAUUUUUUCCCCUCCCUUACGCUUUUUUUUUUUGGUGCCUCUCCACCGCUCUCCGCUCCUCUUCCUACCGUGUUCUCCCUCGCCCAAAGUCUCCUUCCUGCACCUUCCCGCUCGCUGCCUGCCGCUGGCACAAGCCAGCCUGGUGCACCCAACGAGGGAGCUCUCCUUUCCUCCCGUUUGUUCCACUUCCCCUGGAAUUCUGCGCAACAGAAGGAAGAAAAAGAAGAAAACCAUAGCCACUAACAGUCUUAUUUACCAGCUGUUUUAUUUUAGUUCCCUGUCUCCAUAGCCCUCUUUCGAGUUUUUUAUUUCGGCUGAAGGGUUCAGUAAAGCAGUUGCCAGACGGGAGUUGUGCCUAGUUAACGAGACAGAUAGGAAGUUCUUCGGAAGAAGAUUAACAUCUUCUGGAGGGUUUGGACAGCGCUUAGCUUAGGGCUUUGAAUCUUCAUAGUGCUUCCGGCACCCCCAUAGCAUAAAUUCCCAGAUGCACUAAGGUGUGUGCAAGAGCAGUGGUAGGUUGGCACUACCAUGUUGGGACAAGCAGAGUGUUCCCUGUUCUGUCUGCCCACGCAUUACAAGAAGCCUCCAGCAUCCAUCUCCAAUUACCAUAUCAUGUGGGGCCGUUCAUAAGAAAGAUUAUUUCUCCCCUACCUAGGCUGAAGGAAAGUAGUAGCUUAACACAGUCUCAGUAUUGCAGAUACGGCCAGGCACGUAGAAGAAAAUUGUCUAUCUGCAUUCUUUGGAUUUUGUAGAUUCGGAGGUUUAAGGCCGGAAGGGACUAUGAACAUAACCCUGUUGAACCUCCCUCUUAAAAAAACAUAGAUUCUCCAUCAGUAGAGCUACAGAAUAUCAUCUGGAGAAGCUUUCAGUAGUUUAAGACCUUCAAAAGAUGGAGAAUUGCCAUAUCCAUUGGUAAGUUUUUCCCACAGUUAACAUUACAAAUCAUACCUGGCAACUUGUUACGGGAUUAAAAAGAAUGUUAAAAUGAAUGAAAAGGUGGAAAGAGGAAACAAAUUAAUCAGUGAGCAAACAAAAGUUUCAGGCUCUUACAUUCCCAUGAGCAUGGACUGUAGACAGUUUCACACCUCCUACGUAGAAUUUGAACAUCGCAGAUGCACCAGCUGUACUACCCUAAGAUGUAUAUUAACAUGCGAUGAGCUUGCCUGCAUUUUCCGAGUGAAAUAAGGACGAUCCAUGAGUUCUGUUGUCCUUCAUUCCACCGGAGUCUGUCUCAUACCUAACCAGAUUUCAGUGGAGUGAAGCACAAGAGACAUGGAGAUGAAUCAGCAACAAGAGGAACUGCUUCCCACUGCCAGAGAAAGGAAACUACAUGGAAAUUUGGAUACACCAAGCAUCCAGAGAUCAAGCAUGCUGGGAAAUGGAGAGAAGCAGUACACUGAGCAUUUUAAUAACCUGAAUAUUUCUUGAAAAUCUCCAGUAAGAGCCCAUUUUGAAAAUGUACUUACUUUUUACAUAAUACAUAAAAAUUAAAACGUCUACAAAGACCGCAAACUGCUUUCUUGAAGGCUUAAAUACCUUAUUAGCAGGAAAUUAAACUCUAAUGUGGAUAAAUUA